CACGUAGGGCGCAAGCGUUGUCCGGACUUAUUGGGCGUAAAGAGCUCGUAGGCGGACUGUCACGUCCGCUGUGAAAAGCUAGGGCUUAACCCUGGCCUUGCAGUGGAUACGGGCAGACUAGAGGUAGGUAGGGGAGAAUGGAAUUCCCGGUGUAGCGGUGAAAUGCGCAGAUAUCGGGAGGAACACCGGUGGCGAAGGCGGAUCUCUGGGCCGAUACUGACGCUGAGGAGCGAAAGCGUGGGGAGCGAACAGG
rnacentral:rRNA from 1 species